rnacentral:rRNA from 1 species
CUACGGGAGGCUGCAGUGGGGAAUAUUGCACAAUGGGCGCAAGCCUGAUGCAGCAACGCCGCGUGAGGGAUGAAGGCCUUCGGGUUGUAAACCUCCUUUAGCAGGGAAGAAGCGAAAGUGACGGUACCUGCAGAAAAAGCACCGGCUAACUACGUGCCAGCAGCCGCGGUAAUACGUAGGGUGCAAGCGUUGUCCGGAAUUAUUGGGCGUACAGAGCUCGUAGGCGGUUUGUCACGUCUGCUGUGAAAAUCCAAGGCUCAACCUUGGACUUGCAGUGGGUACGGGCAGGCUAGAGUGCGGUAGGGGAGAUGGGAAUUCCUGGUGUAGCGGUGGAAUGCGCAGAUAUCAGGAGGAACACCAAUGGCGAAGGCACAUCUCUGGGCCGUAACUGACGCUGAGGAGCGAAAGCGUGGGGAGCGAACAGGAUUAGAUACCCGCGUAGGU